GAUAUUGGUCAAUGGCCUAACGGCUGAACUCGCAACUUGGAGGAAUAGUCCUUCUCAUAAAAAAUAUUAUCUAAAUAUUUUUUAGAGUUCUAAAAUAAAAUAGGAUACCCGAUGUUUCGGAAAUUCAAAAUGUAAUGUUAUUAUGAUAAUAUAUGUUUAUGUCUUGACCAAUUACGUGCCAGCAGUCGCGGUAAUACGUAAGAGACUAGUGUUAUUCAUCUUUAAUAGGUUUAAAGGGUACUCAGGCGGUUGAAUUUGCUUUAUAAAUGAGAACGGUUCAACUAGAGUAUUAUAUGAGAAGAUCGUACUAAAGUUGUAGAGAUAAAAUUUAUUGAUAACUUUGGGACUGGUAAAGGCGAAGGCAGUCUUCUAUGUAAUAACUGACGCUAAAGGACGAAGGCUUGGGUCACGAAAAGGAUUAGUUACCCUAGUAGUCCUAGCAGAGAAUGAUGAAUGUCAUAGGUUAGGUUAUAAAAUUUAGUCUAUAAAUGAAAGUGUAAGCAUUUCACCUCAAGAGUAACGUGGCAACGCGGGAACUGAAAUCACUAGGCCGUUUCUGACACCAGUAGUGAAGUAUGUUAUUUAAUUCGAAAGUACACAAAAAACCUUACCACAGUCUGAAUAUGUAUAUAUAUUUAUAUGUACGAGCGUUGCACGGCUGUUUUCAGUUAAUGUUGUGAAACCGUGGUUCAAGCCAUGUAAUUAACAAAAACCCUUGCUUUAUUUAUAAAAUUUUAUUGUAAUAAAGCUGAGCUGUCCAUAUAUAGGAUUAGAUAAUAGGGACUAAGACAAGUCAUCAUGGCCUGAGUACUGUGGGCUA
rnacentral:rRNA from 1 species